rnacentral:rRNA from 1 species
GACCUCAGUUCAGGUGAGAUUACCGGCUGAAUUUAAGCAUAUUACUAAGCCGAGGAAAAGAAACUAACAAGGAUUCCCCUAGUAGCAGCGAGCGAACAGGGAAGAGCCCAGCGCUGAAUCCCCCGGGCCUCGCUCGGCGGGAAAUGUAGCGUUUGGGAGGGCCCCGUCAACACGGCGACUCGCUCACUGGUUCAAGUCCAACUUGAAUGGGGCCACACAGAGGGUGACAGGCCCGUAGAGCAGGAGCGGUUGUCGUGUGGGUCUCUCCUUAGAGUCGGUUUGCUUGAGAGUGCAGACUUAAGUGGGUGGUAAACUCCAUCUAAGGCUAAAUAUGACCACGAGACCGAUAGCACACAAGUACCGUGAGGGAAAGGUGAAAAGAACUUUGAAGAGAGAGUUCAAGAGUACGUGAAACUGAAGUGGUGUAAACGGACGAGUUCGAAAAGUCCGAAUGGUGAGAUUCAAGCUUACCGUGCCGGUGGCCCUCGGGUUCAGAUGGCGUCGUCAGCUCGGGCUUCGGUUCGGGUCAUACGGCGUCACUCGUCCUGGGGGUAUCUGUCUGGUGCGGUGGGCUGCACUUCUCGCCUAGUAGGACGUCGCGACCCGUUGGGAUGUUCCGUUCACUGGCCCCUGGUGGAGCCCGCGCCGGAGCGUGGCCUUGUGCCGCGUUGCUGUUUGCACGGACCCGGGGUGACCUGAUCGGCGCCCGACGGUAUCAAAGCUUGGGAAGAGGCCGCACAGAGGAUGCGUUCGAUGGCCGUUUCGGCCUACACUCGGACAGGCCUG